rnacentral:rRNA from 1 species
GACAGAGGUGCCAAGCGUUAGGCGGAAUCACUGGGCUUAAAGCGUGUGUAGGCGGGCGAUCAAGUACCUUGUGAAAUCCCACGGCUCAACCAUGGAACUGCUGGGUAUACUGGUUGUCUUGAGCCAGCUAGGGGCGAGCGGAACAGACGGUGGAGCGGUGAAAUGCAUAGAUAUGUCACAGAACACCAAUUGCGAAGGCAGCUUACUAAAGUAUGAUUGACGCUGAGGCACGAAAGCGUGGGGAUCAAACAGG